GACGAACGCUGGCGGCGUGCCUAAUACAUGCAAGUAGAACGCUGAAGCGAGGAGCUUGCUCUUCUUGGAUGAGUUGCGAACGGGUGAGUAACGCGUAGGUAACCUGCCUUGUAGCGGGGGAUAACUAUUGGAAACGAUAGCUAAUACCGCAUAACAAUGGAUGACCCAUGUCAUUUAUUUGAAAGGGGCAAAUGCUCCACUACAAGAUGGACCUGCGUUGUAUUAGCUAGUAGGUGAGGUAACGGCUCACCUAGGCGACGAUACAUAGCCGACCUGAGAGGGUGAUCGGCCACACUGGGACUGAGACACGGCCCAGACUCCUACGGGAGGCAGCAGUAGGGAAUCUUCGGCAAUGGGGGCAACCCUGACCGAGCAACGCCGCGUGAGUGAAGAAGGUUUUCGGAUCGUAAAGCUCUGUUGUAAGUCAAGAACGAGUGUGAGAGUGGAAAGUUCACACUGUGACGGUAGCUUACCAGAAAGGGACGGCUAACUACGU
rnacentral:rRNA from 1 species